GGCCGUUAAUGACGCUCAUGCACGAAAGUGCGGGGAUCGAACAGGAUUAGAUACCCUGGUAGUCCGCACAGUAAACGAUGAAUACUUGCUUUCGGCGAUACAGUGUCGGAGGCAAAGCGAAAGCGAUAAGUAUUCCACCUGGGGAGUACGCCGGCAACGGUGAAACUCAAAGGAAUUGACGGGGGCCCGCACAAGCGGAGGAACAUGUGGUUUAAUUCGAUGCUACGCGAGGAACCUUACCCGGGCUUGAAAGUUAGCGACGGCGGAUGAAAGUCUGCUUCCCUUCGGGGCGCGAAACUAGGUGCUGCAUGGUUGUCGUCAGCUCGUGCCGUGAGGUGUCGGCUUAAGUGCCAUAACGAGCGCAACCCUUUUCUCCAGUUGCCAUCGGUUCGGCCGGGGACUCUGGAGACACUGCCAUCGCAAGAUGUGAGGAAGGAUGGGAUGACGUCAAAUCAGCACGGCCCUUACGUCCGGGGCGACACACGUGUUACAAUGGGAGGGACAGAAAGCUGCGAAGUGGUGACACCGAGCCAAUCUCCAAACCUUCUCCCAGUUCGGAUCGGAGUCUGCAACCCGACUCCGUGAAGCUGGAUUCGCUAGU
rnacentral:rRNA from 1 species